AGUGGCGGACGGGUGAGUAACACGUGAGCAAUCUGCCUCUAAGUGGGGGAAUAACGACUGGAAACGGUCGGUAAUACCGACAUAACAGUAGCCGAACCGCAUGAUUUGGUUAUCAAAGAUUUAUCGCUUAGAGAUGAGCUCGCGUCUGAUUAGCUAGUUGGUGAGGUAACGGCCCACCAAGGCGACGAUCAGUAGCCGGACUGAGAGGUUGAACGGCCACAUUGGGACUGAGACACGGCCCAGACUCCUACGGGAGGCAGCAGUGGGGAAUAUUGCACAAUGGGCGCAAGCCUGAUGCAGCGAUGCCGCGUGAGGGAAGAAGGUUUUCGGAUUGUAAACCUCUGUUGACAGGGACGAUAAUGACGGUACCUGUUCAGAAAGCUCCGGCUAACUACGUGCCAGCCGCGGC
rnacentral:rRNA from 1 species